GUUACGCUAAUACCGCAUACGAUCUACGGAUGAAAGCGGGGGAUCGCAAGACCUCGCGCGAAUGGAAGCGGCCGAUGUCAGAUUAGGUAGUUGGUGGGGUAAAGGCUCACCAAGCCAACGAUCUGUAGCUGGUCUGAGAGGACGACCAGCCACACUGGAACUGAGACACGGUCCAGACUCCUACGGGAGGCAGCAGUGGGGAAUUUUGGACAAUGGGCGCAAGCCUGAUCCAGCCAUUCCGCGUGCAGGAUGAAGGCCUUCGGGUUGUAAACUGCUUUUGUACGGAACGAAAGGUCCUGGUUAAUACCUGGGCUCAUGACGGUACCGUAAGAAUAAGCACCGGCUAACUACGUG
rnacentral:rRNA from 1 species